GAUGAACGCUGGCGGCGUGCCUAAUACAUGCAAGUCGAGCGAACAGACGAGGAGCUUGCUCCUCUGACGUUAGCGGCGGACGGGUGAGUAACACGUGGAUAACCUACCUAUAAGACUGGGAUAACUUCGGGAAACCGGAGCUAAUACCGGAUAAUAUAUUGAACCGCAUGGUUCAAUAGUGAAAGACGGUUCUGCUGUCACUUAUAGAUGGAUCCGCGCCGCAUUAGCUAGUUGGUAAGGUAACGGCUUACCAAGGCGACGAUGCGUAGCCGACCUGAGAGGGUGAUCGGCCACACUGGAACUGAGACACGGUCCAGACUCCUACGGGAGGCAGCAGUAGGGAAUCUUCCGCAAUGGGCGAAAGCCUGACGGAGCAACGCCGCGUGAGUGAUGAAGGUCUUCGGAUCGUAAAACUCUGUUAUUAGGGAAGAACAAAUGUGUAAGUAACUAUGCACGUCUUGACGGUACCUAAUCAGAAAGCCACGGCUAACUACGUG
rnacentral:rRNA from 1 species